AUAUUGCGCAAUGGGGGCAACCCUGACGCAGCAAUGCCGCGUGAGUGAGGAAGGCCUUCGGGUUGUAAAGCUCUGUCCUUAGGGAAAAAUGGGUAGGUGUCGAAUAGGCGCUUACUUUGAUGGUACCUGAGAAGAAAGCACCGGCUAACUUCGUGCCAGCAGCCGCGGUAAUACGAAGGGUGCAAGCGUUGUUCGGAUUUAUUGGGCGUAAAGCGUGCGCAGGCGGGUUCGCAAGUCAGGUGUGAAAUCUCGAGGCUUAACCUCGAAAUUGCGCCUGAAACUGCAAGUCUAGAAUGUCGGAGAGGGAAGGGGAAUAUCUCAUGUAGGGGUAAAAUCCGUAGAUAUGAGAUGGAACACCAGAGGCGAAGGCGCCUUCCUGGACGACUAUUGACGCUGAGGCACGAAAGCGUGGGGAGCAAACAGG
rnacentral:rRNA from 1 species